rnacentral:lncRNA from 1 species
GACGUCAAAAUGAACCAAAUAAAAGAAUGGACAUAGUAUCUUCUGAAGCCUUUUCUACUCCUGUGAUAUUUUUCAUUUUCAAGUAUGAUACAAGUCUAAAGAAGAUAAACAUGCCCUGCUUUUAUCAGGUGCUUUGUGUGCAGUGGCAUGUAAUUAGCCAACAGCUUGGGGCUUGAUUAAA